rnacentral:rRNA from 1 species
UACGAAGGGUGCAAACGUUGCUUGGAAUUAUUGGGCGUAAAGCGCACGUAGGCGGCUUUGCAAGUCGGAUGUGAAAGCCCUCGGCUCAACUGAGGAAGUGCAUCCGAAACUGAGUGGCUAGAGUAUGGAAGAGGGUCGCGGAAUUCCCGGUGUAGAGGUGAAAUUCGUAGAUAUCGGGAGGAACACCGGUGGCGAAGGCGGCGACCUGGGUAGAUACUGACGCUGAGGUGCGAAAGCGUGGGGAGCAAACAGG